rnacentral:misc_RNA from 1 species
UGCAAGUAUGCCUGGCAUGACCAUUUCAACGCGUUGUAGGAAGUGAAAGGAUAUGGUUACUACAAAUUGGAAAAGCUGGGCUUUAACAUGCUUAUUGCUGGACCAGUUCUAUGGGUGCUUGUAUCAAUCCACAACUCGUGUCAAAUAUACGACAGCUGAUGGGCAUGUCCAAAUGUUGCGAGCGAGUGUUCAUAUCCUUUUUUAAUGGGUAGUUUGUUGUUCUUGAUUGGUGCCAUGCUUAAUAGCCAGGAUCAAGCUGGGCUGGACCAUCAUGGGGUACUGCUAUUGGGAAGAAACUUGGUGUUGAUGGGCAUCUUUGGAAGUGUCUUACUAUUAAUUGGGGGAUUAACAAAUGUGGUAAAGUGUCCAAGAUGCGGCAAAUUGAUGGACUGCGCCUGAAGAAACUGCGAGGAGGGGCUCAGGGACGUUUAAUGCAUCAGAAAGAAGGGCAGCUGCCGCUUAUUGCAGAAGAACAAUGGAGGAGGCAAAGGGUAAUCGAGGAAACAAAAGCUGUACCUUUUCGUGUUCCAGUUCCAGUUCCAACUUCUUACAAGGAUGUGCUUCUCGGUCAGACUUGAUUGCUUCGCUCAUCUACGAGUGAUCAUCACCGGUCUUCUCUGGUCACUUUGGUGCUAUGUGGCCAUCUCUGAUUUUGCUUCUCUCCUGUUACUCACGAGUUUAGAUAUGAUUGAUAUUCUUGUUUAUCGAGGACAUGUAAGAUUUUGG